rnacentral:rRNA from 1 species
GUCGAACGGCAGCACAGCAGUAGCAAUACUGUGGGUGGCGAGUGGCGGACGGGUGAGUAAUGCAUCGGGACCUACCUAGACGUGGGGGAUAACGUAGGGAAACUUACGCUAAUACCGCAUACGUCCUACGGGAGAAAGCAGGGGACCUUCGGGCCUUGCGCGGUUAGACGGACCGAUGUUCGAUUAGCUAGUUGGUAGGGUAAUGGCCUACCAAGGCGACGAUCGAUAGCUGGUCUGAGAGGAUGAUCAGCCACACUGGAACUGAGACACGGUCCAGACUCCUACGGGAGGCAGCAGUGGGGAAUAUUGGACAAUGGGCGCAAGCCUGAUCCAGCAAUGCCGCGUGUGUGAAGAAGGCCUUCGGGUUGUAAAGCACUUUUAUCAGGAGCGAAACGCUGUCGGCUAAUACCCGGCGGAACUGACGGUACCUGAGGAAUAAGCACCGGCUAACUUCGUGCCAGCAGCCGCGGUAAUACGAAGGGUGCAAGCGUUAAUCGGAAUUACUGGGCGUAAAGCGUGCGUAGGCGGUUUGUUAAGUCUGUUGUGGAAUCCCCGGGCUCAACCUG